rnacentral:rRNA from 1 species
GAGGAAUGUAUAGCAAUAGCUAGUUGCAUCAUAGUAGAUAUGAUGCAAGAUCGACUAUGUUGAAUAAAAUUCUAGGUAGAAUUAUGAUAAUGACAUUGUCUGCCUAUGUGUCUUGACCAAAUUACGUGCCAGCAGUCGCGGUAAUACGUAGAAGACUAGUGUUAUUCAUGUUUAAUCGGUUUAAAGGGUACCUAGACGGUAGAUCAAGCUUUCUAAUAAAGGAAAAGGACUAAUUUACUAGAGUUACUUAUGAGGGGGUAUUAAAGUACUGCUGGUGUAGAGAUGAAAUUCUGUCAUACCUCUUUUCAAAAGAAAAACCAUGGCACAGGUAUAGGCGAAGGCAUCCCCUUAUGUGAUAACUGACGUUGAGGGACGAAGGCUUUGUGUAGCGAACAGGAUUAGAUACCCCAGUAGUCGAAGCAGAAAAUGAUGAAUGUCAUAGAUUAGAUAUAUAAGUUUAUUCUAUAAAUGAAAGUGUAAGCAUUCCACCUCAUGAGUAAUUUGGCAACAUUGGAACUGAAAUCAUUAGACCGUUUCUGAAACCAGUAGUGAAGUAUGUUGUUUAAUUUGAUGUUCCGCAAAAAACCUUACCACAAUUUGAAUAUUUAUAUUGUUUAUUGUUUUAUUAUUAAUUUUCUUGAAGAAAAUUAAGAAACAAGCAAUAAGAUAUAAUUACAAGCGUUGCACGGCUGUCUUCAGUUAAUGUCGCGAGACUUUGGUUAGUUCCAUUAAAUUAACGUAAACCCUUACUUUAUUUUUAUAUAGAGUAGUUCCCCGCUAUAUUGGAUAU